UCCCUCAACCCCGCCACCUCCAACAAACUCCGGAUCGGAUCCAUCACCGGAUCUCCCUCAGGAUGGAGGAGGAGCGUUGCGGAUGCAGCUUGAUUAGAACGCAGCUGCAGAGAAGUGGAAAUCUCCUCCUCUACCAGAGGACCGCUUCGCCCUCAUGUGCGGGUCCUCACGCCGGAGAGCUCGUCAGCAGGGAGAG